rnacentral:ncRNA from 8 species
UAAGGUAGCCAAAUGCCUCGUCAUCU